AGCUAAGACAAGUAGCUGGCACUUGUUGGCCAGGGCAUCUGCAGGUUGGUGGCUAGACUGGUAGCUUCCCUCAGAGGUGUUGAGUCUUCAGAGCUGUGGACUUUCUUGUUGCUCAAACCAGCAGAGCACCUUCAAGUCUCUUACUGAAUUGGAAUCGCAAUUGUUUGGUAUGCACAUGUUGUCAACUUGACAGAGAUCUUGGAUAUAUUCCCAUUUCUCUGGCAGAGAUUCAAAGACUAACAGGAGCAGAUAUAUUUUGCACCUGAGUGAGUGAAGAUCAAGCACAGGAGAAAAUUAACAGGGAGGAGGCAGUGUCAUGACUCCACGUGAGCAGCUAAGGAAGAUAACAGCACUUGGAGAGCAAGGUGCUCUAGAUGAGAAACACUGGUACCGACUAGUCAAUGGAAUGUCUACUGGAGAGUUGCGGCAGAGGCAGGAGCUCAUGAUGAGGAACCAGAUGGCAAUGGCUCCACAGAUCCUGGUUCAGGGGCAGCAGAGACUGCAGGGUGUGCCCACACAGUUUGAUCCCCGCUUCAUGGAGAGGGAACUGGUGCCACCCACUGAAAUGGUAUCAGCUGAUGCUAGACAAAUCCACAUGGGUACCCAUCUUGGUCCACCUCCGCCCCAAAAUUCCAAUGUUAUUCCAGGCCGAGGAUUCCCUGGAACAGGUUAUGGCUACCUUCCUGCUGAAACCAUGGAAACAGUUGCAAGACGACAAGAGUUAAUUCACAAGCAGAAUAUAGCCAGGAUGGAGAUGAAUGCUAUCCUGCACCAAAAAGAGCUGGAGAAUGCCCACCAAAAGGGUCUGAUUGGCAUGGAGAAUCCCAUGAUGUACCAGGGCAUCCAACACAAUCCCAUGGCCUUCAGGGGCCGCCAGCGACUUCCAGAUGGACAUGAUGUCUUCAUCCACCGUACUGCCCUUGAAGACUUGCAUGCUAACAGUCUCCUCAUAUCAAGCCCCUACCCACCAAUCAGCACACUGCAAAGGGAGCGAGGACGCAGGACAGGCAGAAGAGCCACCAAUCACAAGAGCUCAGACAGCAACCUCACACUCCCCAAAUGCCAAUCAGAAGAGAAGAAUGUAGAGCAAAGUCCAGGAGGUGCUUCAUGGGAGGAGAAGGAGGCAGGAGGAAAAGGUGACAUGAGUAAUGAGGCCCCCAUCCACAAACCACACCACACCAAUAUGGAAACUGAGCUGUCUUCAGGCAGCAGUAGAAAAAGUUUUAAAGAAGGAGAGCCUGGGAUUCGCAAAGCCUGUAUUAGUCGACAGGAGGGCUGUUCAGAAGUCACCAACUACAAAGCUAGCACCAGUGACAAAGACAUAUCCAACCCAUGCUCAGCUUUCCAAGAGAAGUUUCUGCACCCUUCUGCCACUGGCCCAACUGGCAUGCCCUACAUGCUUCCAAUGCCAGGAAAUGGACUUCUACCAAUUGGGCCUUCUAAUAUGUUUCUCAAUGGAGAAGAGAUGUCUUCACAGGAAGAUGUUCGCAAGUGGACAGUUGAUGAUGUCUACAACUUUAUAAGUGAAAUACCAAGCUGUUCUGAAUAUGCACAGACGUUCAAAGACCACAUGAUUGAUGGAGAGACAUUGCCUCUUCUUACAGAGGACCACCUUCUGGACACUCUUGGGCUAAAGCUUGGCCCUGCACUCAAGAUACGAUCACUGUUGUCACGGCGGUUGGGUAACAUGUACUAUAACAUGAUGAACUUGCCGUUGCCUGUAUCUGGUCUGCAGCUUGCACCUGAGAAAGGUGGGGACAGAUCAUCAGAUAUUAGCUCCCCCCUCAACUGCAACAAUGUGGAGAUGCUUGGCAGCCCCCGGGACACGGAGGCCCUUAAAUCCACAGAGCCUGUAACUGAAGCUGACAAUCCUUCUCCCACCCAAAUGAGUGAGACAACCUAAGAAGACAUGAAGAACUACUGGACUAUUCACUUUUUUACCUCAAGAAUCUGUUGUGAUGCCCAAUGCAUUAGCUAACAAUCCAAUCCCACUGCUGUGUGUUGCUGAGUGAUGACUACUAACUGCAGUCUGUACCAACCAUACAGCGAGGGGCACUUCGAUGAUCACUGACUGCAUCACUUCAGUCUUCUAUGAUGGACUUCACAGAGGAUGAGCUGCUACCAGCUCCAUGGGAUACUUCACUAUCCACUGCCUGCACCUCGGGCUUAGGAUGGACUUCACCAAAAUUAACCACCAAGCUUCCAGCCAGACUGUGAGGCACACCUUGCUGACCUCUGCCUGCAUCAUCUUGGUCAUAGGAUGGACUACACUCUCUUAAAAUUAAAUACAUACUGUAUGUAGCAGGAUAGGCUGUCACCUUUCUGUUUUAUGUGUAAUGAUGUCAUUGAUUGACUGCUAGUCAUUGUCAAAGCUGGUCUAUUUAAGGGCUCUUGUCAGCCAACUGGGAAUGUGUUGCUGUCAACCCUGCCCUCUUUCCGGUAUCACAUGGGUCAUCCGAGUGCUACUUCCAGUUAGCUGAUUAGCUAAGUCAUCAUGGCUUGUUGUUUUGGUCAGUGCAUGUUUAACUGUAGUGAACCAAAGGAUGUUUCCUAUGUUGAGAACUGUAGUGCUGGCUGUUCAUCCCCAGCGAGUGUAUCUGCUGCUUAACUACUAUUGGCUGCUUUGGCAUGGUCUAAUGAGCCACCUUAACCCGGUGGGCUGGUUGACAAUGACAUGCUGAAGUGUUCCCUCGGUGGCUACAGUUGUGUGGUUCACCUUCUUUGGAACACUCCAGGGCAGCUCCUAUCUAUCUGUUUCAAUACAGGAACACCUAAAUCUCCAAAACGGCUGGUCAAGAUUACAAUCAAAGAACAAAUUUCAAAUCAGCAGUAAAAUCUGACAACACUGGUAACAAAUCAUGCUUCUUUACCUCAGAUUACGCUAAAAAACUUUGUUUUUUCCCCCGCCUUGUUGAGCUAAUGCGCAUGCACAUUCUCAAGUUGACUUACAGGUGAUGUCUUUAUCUAAAAGGUGCCCUGAAUCCCGAUACCUAUACUGGUAAUGGAGUCAGGUCCAAAACAAUGUGAGAUUAUUUAACUGUAAAAGCUGCGAUUUAAUGAGAUAAAUAUAUAGUUUGUGUGUGCUGCGCGUAUUAAAUGUGAGCACUUGUGAAUGUGUUGAGCCGGUGUUGUGCAGACAUAAAGACACACAGUGCUCAAACCUUUGAGAGAUCCUUGACUCAAACACAGAAAAUGCUAUCAUGAGCAUUGUGCGCUCUGUUUGUAGCAGAUGAUAGCAAAUGUAAACAAAUGUUAGCGUGGCACAUACAGACUACAUAUUUAUGUAAUUAAAUAGCAGCCUUUUAAUAAUAAUUACUUUGAGUCACGUAGCGACCGGCUUUCCAGAUUGAGAAGCUACUGUCAUAACACAGAAACACUUCAAAAUAUAAGCUCCGCCAAAAUAAAAGCUUAAUUUUAAGGUCUUGUUAUUGGUCACUUUCACUCUUGGAAUAAACUAAUCAUGGCUGAUUGUGAAUAGUGAAUUUCAACAAUGGCAUUUGUAACAGAGAACUACUGAUUUUGAAUGAUGCACACCACUAGGUGCCACUGUAAGUCCAAGAUGACACAAACAAAAAGUUACUGAGUGCACCUCUAAAGGGAAAAAGUGCGACAAAAUAGAUCACUGCUGUAUAGUUAUGUAAUACUGUAUUCACUAUAACACUGCUACUAGUAAUAAAAAUAAUAAUAAAUCAAUAGUAAUUGUAUUAUAUUUAAAGGGACAGUUCACCCAAAAAUGAAAAUUAUCUCAUCAUUUACUCACCCUCAUGUCAUCCCUGAUGUCUAUGACUUUCUCUCUUCUGCAGAACACAAAUUAAGAUUUUUAGAAGAAUAUUUCAGCUCUGUAGGUCCAUAAAAUGCAAGUGAAUGGUGGCCAGAACCCUGAAGGUUCAGAUAUCACAUAAAUGCAUCAUAAAAGUAAUCCAUAAGACUCCAUUGGUUUAAUCAAUGUCUUCUGAAGCUAUCCAGUCAGUUUUGGUUGAGAACAGACCAAAAUAUUCUCAAAAGAUCACAAUUGCCGAGGAGACUGCUGUCAAGAUUUAUAGUGAAAAGGAGUUACAUUUUGGUCUGUUCCAACCCAAACAUUUUGUAUUUUGGAAUGUGCUGUGAGGUUCUGUAUAAAAGCAUUUAAUUUGAUAAAAAUAAUACAAUAUUAUGUAAUUAUUAAUUGUUAUAUUUUUAUUUAAUUAAAGUUAAACACCAUUUCGAUGAUAACAUUUAAAUAAACUGUUGACAUGGAAUUCAGAAAAACAGUGAGGGACAGCUUGAGGGCAGUAAAUAAUCUUGUUUAUUUUCUUUUUGCUAGCCAGCUGUCAUGCCAUUUUACAGAUACAUCGUUGAUGAAAAGAAAUUCAAAUUAUAUGUAUCUUUUCUUUGAUAAAGCACUAAAAAGAAAAGAUGACUGAAACAAGCGUAUUGCUAGCAUUGCUAGCACAUUUUAAAAUUUAAACAUUUUAUUGCAUUUAAAGCCUUUAUUCAGAAAAUUAUUGCAUUUAUCGCCUUUACUAUUUUAAAGGACAGAGGACCAUUAUGUUCAAGACACGGUUACAGCCAUGGUUGUAUGGGUAUCUAAGUGUGUUAUUAGUUAUCAUUAUUGGAUGUGAAUCUCUGUAAUUCCAAAAUUCCAAGCAUUUUCAAUGCUUUUAUUGUUUUUAUUGAGGGUUGUGAGACAAAAUAAAAAGAGAAUAUAUUUUUGUACUGGUAUCC